AACGGCAGCACGGACUUCGGUCUGGUGGCGAGUGGCGAACGGGUGAGUAAUGUAUCGGAACGUGCCCAGUAGCGGGGGAUAACUACGCGAAAGCGUAGCUAAUACCGCAUACGCCCUACGGGGGAAAGCAGGGGAUCGCAAGACCUUGCACUAUUGGAGCGGCCGAUAUCGGAUUAGCUAGUUGGUGGGGUAACGGCUCACCAAGGCGACGAUCCGUAGCUGGUUUGAGAGGACGACCAGCCACACUGGGACUGAGACACGGCCCAGACUCCUACGGGAGGCAGCAGUGGGGAAUUUUGGACAAUGGGGGAAACCCUGAUCCAGCCAUCCCGCGUGUGCGAUGAAGGCCUUCGGGUUGUAAAGCACUUUUGGCAGGAAAGAAACGUCAUGGGCUAAUACCCCGUGAAACUGACGGUACCUGCAGAAUAAGCACCGGCUAACUACGUGCCAGCAGCCGCGGUAAUACGUAGGGUGCAAGCGUUAAUCGGAAUUACUGGGCGUAAAGCGUGCGCAGGCGGUUCGGAAAGAAAGAUGUGAAAUCCCAGAGCUUAACUUUGGAACUGCAUUUUUAACUACCGAGCUAGAGUGUGUCAGAGGGAGGUGGAAUUCCGCGUGUAGCAGUGAAAUGCGUAGAUAUGCGGAGGAACACCGAUGGCGAAGGCAGCCUCCUGGGAUAACACUGACGCUCAUGCACGAAAGCGUGGGGAGCAAANCAGGAUUAGAUACCCUGGUAGUCCACGCCCUAAACGAUGUCAACUAGCUGUUGGGGCCUUCGGGCCUUGGUAGCGCAGCUAA
rnacentral:rRNA from 1 species